UACGAAGGGGGCUAGCGUUGCUCGGAAUCACUGGGCGUAAAGGGUGCGUAGGCGGGUCUUUAAGUCAGGGUGAAAUCCUGGAGCUCAACUCCAGAACUGCCUUUGAUACUGAAGAUCUUGAGUUCGGGAGAGGUGAGUGGAACUGCGAGUGUAGAGGUGAAAUUCGUAGAUAUUCGCAAGAACACCAGUGGCGAAGGCGGCUCACUGGCCCGAUACUGACGCUGAGGCGACGAAGCGGAUGGGAGCAAACAGGGGAUUAAGAAACCCGUA
rnacentral:rRNA from 1 species